rnacentral:rRNA from 1 species
AGGGGAGCUUCCCAUACGGGUUGAAGCAUGACCGUAAGGACAUGUGGACAGUAUGGGAGUGAGAAUGUUGGCAUGAGUAGCGAGAUGUGGGUGAGAAUCCCACAGGCCGUAAACCCAAGGUUUCCAGGGGAAGGUUCGUCCGCCCUGGGUUAGUCGGAACCUAAGCUGAGGCCGAAAGGCGUAGGUGAUGGACAACAGGUUGAUAUUCCUGUACUACCGAUAACCAUUUGAGAGAAGGGAUGACACAGUAGGAUAAGCUAAGCACACUGUUGGUUAUGUGUGCCCAAGCAUUGAGGCAGUCAAAGUAGGCAAAUCCGCUUUGAUAAUGCUGGGAUGUGAUGGGGAGCGAAAUUUAGUAGCGAAGUAGCUGAUUUCACACUGUCAAGAAAAGUCUCUAUCGAGGUUAAAGGUACC